rnacentral:lncRNA from 1 species
UUGAUGUUAUGGUAGACUUGCUAAAAUGACUCUUCUAAUUGUCAUGCGAUCAAGAUCUUGUCGUGAUUUUGGAUCUAAGUUUUGUUUCAUUUUAUUUCUUUUUAUUUACCAUCAUUUUGGCUAGAGUUAUAUUCCAAGUCUUGAAUCGAUUUUGGUUUGCAGGCCAUAUUUCUAUGCCCUUUAUUUUAGUUACAUGUUUUUAGGUUCGGUCCAAAUCAUAUAGAU